UUAUGAAUUUUGUUCCGUUGUCAAUGACUAUACGCUAAUUUUUAAUACGAAUUAUUGGUAUGUACGUACUCGUCGAAUAAGAAAAAUAUUGUAUCGCUUGUAAAGAGGAUUACACGCUUGGUUACUGUUAACGAUUUCAUGAAUAAGUGUUCGUGUAUAUUGCUUUCGUCGAACGAGAUCCACGAGAUCGAUCGUGAAUCGUUUCUUCACCCGCUCAGGUUGUCAGUAUACCUACGACGUAAUGCACAAAUAAUUGAAGAAAAUUUGGGUCAUUGUCUGUGUAAGUGUGCUUUUGUAGAUACCACGAUCAUAUCAGCGUAACGUAACGUAAUUUAAGAACGAUCUGUGUAGUAGGAUCUGGAUUAAUCUAUAUUAAGGCAAUUAAUGUUUUACCUUAUCGCAGCUUUUCGUAAUGAAACCAGUAACAAAGAUCGUGAUCUAGAUUGUCGGGUAAAUUUUGCCACGUUCAUUGGACAAGCAUCGAAUUAGAGAUAUUAUCAUAGCUUUAUUGCUUAUUCAGAUUACUAUCGUUUCGGAAAUGUAGUAGAUGAAAGUGCUGCGCUUGUACGAACAAUGAGUGACGAAGUUGUGUAUCUUUCACUUAGGUAUACUUACCAAGAGGGCAAAAUUGAUUGCACAAUUCAAAGGAAAUAGACGAGAAUUCGAUCGAGAGUAAAUUCGCGAACCUUUCGAAUAUUUAUACGCAUCGAGUUCAAUUACGACACGAGAUAUAACGAUUCGAAUUUCACAAAUCAAAGACAAAGCGGUACUGACCACGAAUCGGAAUUAUUUUUAUUUGCACAGUGCUCGAUUUUUUGCAAUCAUGAUUACAAUGUCUUUGUAACGUAUACGAAGGUCGAUGAGAGUGUUUCGCUGAAAUUCGAUGAAAAUGUAUUUACCGAAGGUUUCAUAGAUCAAUUGUCUUCGCAAAAUUUAUCAUGGGGCAUCCAUUUACCAUUGCAGAUCGAGCACGGGAAUACACGAUGUGAAAAUUGCGUUGUCAUUAGUGUAAUAAAUGCGUUAUUCUGUGAUAAAGCAUAAUGCUCGAGCGAAUAUGCGAAAUUCAAUGUGCGCGAGUAGAAACAACGUUUCUGGGUGAAAACGGAUGAUUAAUUCGGUUCGUGCCAAUUACUUUUUAGUCGACUGAUAAAGACCCGAAUAUACGACGUACAAACAUCACCACACGGUUGUAUGAUAAAUUAAUUAAUCGAUUAAAUGAUGGUUAAAAGAACGCGUAUCAUCGCUGUUGUACAUAGUACGAUAAUUAAGAAUGGAAAGAUUUGUACGUUUAUAUUUUUCAAAUGACGCGCACAAAUCGUAGGUCUGUUAACCUAGCUACGUAACGUGGUUGACCAUGACGUUCACAGCUAGCUUCAUGUUGCUACGCGAGCACGUGCUGUUAAUAUUACGUCAUGUUCGAGAGGUGGUCUUCUGUCAAAGGAUUCUUUUCGGUGACUUGUAAGGAAGAGAUUUGACGUGAAACGAAUCGACAUGAUACGGAAGAUUUGUAUGAUCGAAUGUAAGCACGGACACGGCAAUGGAACUGCAUGAAAAUAAAUUAAAUUUUAUUAACGAACGCAU
rnacentral:lncRNA from 1 species